UCUCAUUGAGUUCUUUACUUUCUUCUCACUGUUGCCUAGUCUCCUCUCUGACUUGACCGUCGGAGGGUCCCCGUCGGAGCCGCCUCCGGUCAGCGCGGACUUUCUUUUAUAGGCGCUCGUUCCCGACGAUCAGACGAUGAGGAGAUUGACCGCAACACAUAUUAUUUGGAAAUUUCAGUAUGUCAACACAGAAUACACCGCGCCAUUCUCAAUUGUUGCUAGUCCCCAGAUGUUUUUACCCUAUGCUCUCCACUUUUAACAAGCAUUCAUGUCAUCAUUUCCCAUCGUUAAGGUGUUCAUCUCAUGGUCGGUAUUGCAGUGGAGAAUGAACAGGAACUUUGCCGUGUUUUCUCGACAGAAGAUAAAUCAAACUUUUUGUCAUGCAAUCUCCAUUGUUGUUAUAUUAUUACCUGAAAGCUGUGAUUUAGCAUAUGCUCAAUCAGUGUUUUUUCCCUUUUUUUUCGGUGUACCCUGAUUGAUUCCUUCCACUGGGUUCCUUUUGAUUUAUUCCAAAUGUAUUCAGAUUUUAUAUGCUAUUCGUGGUUGAUACGAAAAUGAAAUAUUCUAGACUUGCAAAUAUUUUCAUGAGAAUCUUUGAAGAUCUGAGAUAUUGAAUAUUUAGUAUUAUUAAUUUUCAGUUUAUCCAGAUUUCACCCAUAAAAGCAAGAAAUUUGUAGAAGAAAGCCGAAGAGUUGGAGCCCUACUAGCCCGUUCUUGGGACCC
rnacentral:lncRNA from 1 species